AUCGAACGCUGGCGGCAGGCCUAACACAUGCAAGUCGAACGAGUGGCGGACGGGUGAGUAAUGUCUGGGAAACUGCCUGAUGGAGGGGGAUAACUACUGGAAACGGUAGCUAAUACCGCAUACCAUCGGAUGUGCCCAGAUGGGAGUAGCUAGUAGGUGGGGUAAAGGCUCACCUAGGCGACGACCCCUAGCUGGUCUGAGAGGAUGACCGGCGACACUGGAACGGGGACGCGGUCCUGGCUCCUACGGGAGGCAGCAGUGGGGAAUGUUGCGCAAUGGGCGCAAGCCUGAUGCAGCCAUGCCGCGUGUAUGAAGGAGGCCUUCGGGUUGUAAAGUACUUUCAGCGGGGAGGCGUUACCCGCAGAAGAAGCACCGGCUAACUCCGUGCCAGCAGCCGCGGUAAUUC
rnacentral:rRNA from 1 species